CCGUGCUAGCCGGGGAGUUAGCGGUGCCCUGUACCUGCAAUCCGCUAUAGCAGGGGUGAUGUUCUGUUUCGGAGUUAUUAUCGGCAAAGCUGCCCAAUGUAUGAGGUGUUGACGUUUUGGUCUUGCGCAAUGGAAACUCAUGAACCGUGUCAGGAGGGGAACCUAGCAGCACUAAGUGAGACCUUUCGUGUGCCGCAAGGUUGCCGGAGCCGAGCUGUCAGCGUUGGUAACGUUUGGGGUGAUUUCUUCAACACAGAGCGCACGG
rnacentral:SRP_RNA from 2 species